AGCCACGAUGCUGGCAAUUGCUCUAACCUCAUGGAGGAGACCAAGACUUUCUCAUCGACUGAGAGUCUGCGACAACUUUCUCAACAGCUCAAUGGCCUUGUGUCUGAGGUACCACAGGACUGGGGUCCAGAGAGAAGGUAGAGAGGAAAGGAAGGCACAGUAGAAAACGAGGCAGGGAUUCCCGAGCGGCUCUUGUCAUGCUUGGAGAAGACCUGGAUUUGGACCUCGAUGGGCAAUGUGAUUUUAUCCUGUUUAUCCUGGUGUGGAAAGUUCGAGGUGACAGCUGUUGAGCAGCGGGGUUGAGCCAUGGGGGUUUAGGGGCCAUGAGGAGUGGCACAAGAGGGUGUGAGUGAACAGGAAAGCAGACUCUGCUAGUUGAGGGGGAAUAGGAGGCUGCAGGGAUUAGACAGUGAGGGUCACAGAGCAUCUCCAUGAGAGGUAUUGUCUCUCCUAG
rnacentral:lncRNA from 1 species